rnacentral:lncRNA from 1 species
GCAAAACCAGUGGGCCUUGACAGGGCAUCGACAAGGGCGCUGUUGUAAAUGACCUUUCAUGUCCAAACCCAAGGCAAGGGCCCAGUGCCAUCUAUGUAGUACUACAGCCUAAGCUUGAUGACCAACAUGGUGAGUCUUGUGUGUGUGCACCAAAACUCACUCAUAGUGAGGUCCAACCCGUCCCACCUAGCAAGGUUUGGCAGUAGUGGAGCAGGUGUGGGGUAGCACUAUGUGAAGUAAAUGACAAGACGGAGAGGGGAUAAGGGCAAACUUGCAGGCCAAGGCCCAGUCGGUCAUUGCUGAAUGGGUAGAGCCUUGUGUAGAAGUAGG